ACCUGGGGAAGAGGAAACAAUACCAAAUCCAGCAUCACAUCAAUAAGUUGCUAGUGCUUUAUUCUGAAGAUCUGGUGUAUUAGGUACACCAGGUCACUACAGGACAGCUGCACCUUGUAGAGGGGCUUAACUAAGCAGCAGCUCCACAUCUGGCUGCCUCUGCAUGGGCUCUUCCUGUGUGCCCCCAGCCCCCAGCGGACCACACAGGGGAAAAAUCCCGUGUGUUAAGGUCAGAUGUGCUACCUUGGACUUUGAUAGUUGCAGAGGUCGAUGCGGUUCCGUGUUCAUUGGUUGCCACACAGGUGUAGAUGCCGCUGUCCUGAGGCAUCAGGUUGCAGAUCUUCAAGGUGAGCUCUCCCGAGUCACUAUGGAUGCAGGAAGCCCAAGUUAUAAAACACUGCUUCACUUGCUAAUGUUUUUUGUAUAGUUCUUGUCCUGCCUCAUUGUAAACAGACGUGCACACAAGUCCCGUGAACUCAUUUGAAGGAAUAUCCCUCCGGCAAUUUGAUGUCCAAGUACAACCCCUUCAUAUGUCAGCAUCUGGCUGUUAAUGAAACCUUUGAGCAAACCUUUGGUCCAAAUUGCCUAUCAAGGAAAUUCUCAUGUCUGUUGUGGUCUAGGAAGAGAUGUGAAGGAUCACUCAAGCAGCAAGAAGUCCAGGAGAUAAACACUGCCUGUGCCUGUCCAGAGCUGGAUGCUUAGACUUCAUAUAUCUGGAAAGAUUUACCCAUGCAGAUCUUUCCUGUCAUGGGAGAUGAGGUGGUUUGUGCAUCCCCUGUGCCUGGCUCCACACCUGUGUCACACAGCACCUGCAGUCACCACACACCUGGGGCACGUCACCAGCACUCUGGCCACUAACCAGGUCUGAGGAAAUGUCUUUUAACUUGUGCUCAGCUUCAGGAGAAAAAAGGUAAAGCACUAACCAUAAAUACUUCAUUUUGCCCAAUAUCGAGGAUCAGUCCUGCAACAAUUCUUGGUCUAUUAACAUGAGUGAAAAUUCACUAAUUUCAUUGGACUGCUGGAAACUUUCCAGCUUGAAACUAGGUUUGGAUAGCUAGGAGUUAUUUUAUCUAGCUGGUUAAUUAACCAAGUUAGCAAAGACUUGAAAAGCUAUUGUUACUCUGUGGUCUUUAUGUGUCAAUACAACUUGGGAAGCAAAGGUGGAAAAAGCAAAGACAACACCACUGGGUUCUUACAGAAUCGAUCCUAACUACAUUGUGGUGUACAAUAGUAGAGUGGUUUUAGCCUUAUUAACUGUUUUAAUAAUCUCAUAAGGCCUUGGUAUUCAAAUUCAAUCUAAUAAUUUCAUGUUCCAGCCAUUUCAUGUUCAAUCAUAAACACCAAUGUGGUUUAUCUCACCUUAAAU